CAUUACUGAGUUUACGCUCUAUAACCCUUUGUGAACAUACCUAUAACUGUUGCUUCGGCGGGUAGGGUCUCCGCGACCCUCCCGGCCUCCCGCCUCCGGGCGGGUCGGCGCCCGCCGGAGGAUAACCAAACUCUGAUUUAACGACGUUUCUUCUGAGUGGUACAAGCAAAUAAUCAAAACUUUUAACAACGGAUCUCUUGGUUCUGGCAUCGAUGAAGAACGCAGCGAAAUGCGAUAAGUAAUGUGAAUUGCAGAAUUCAGUGAAUCAUCGAAUCUUUGAACGCACAUUGCGCCCGCCAGCAUUCUGGCGGGCAUGCCUGUUCGAGCGUCAUUUCAACCCUCAAGCUCUGCUUGGUGUUGGGGCCCUACAGCUGAUGUAGGCCCUCAAAGGUAGUGGCGGACCCUCCCGGAGCCUCCUUUGCGUAGUAACUUUACGUCUCGCACUGGGAUCCGGAGGGACUCUUGCCGUAAAACCCCCCAAUUUUCCAAAGGUUGACCUCGGAUCAGGUAGGAAUACCCGCUGAACUUAAGCAUAUCAAU
rnacentral:rRNA from 1 species